AACGAACGCUGGCGGCAGGCUUAACACAUGCAAGUCGAACGCAUCCUUCGGGGUGAGUGGCAGACGGGUGAGUAACGCGUGGGAACGUGCCCUUCAGUUCGGGAUAACCCAGGGAAACUUGGGCUAAUACCGGAUACGUGCGAGAGCAGAAAGAUUUAUCGCUGAAGGAUCGGCCCGCGUCUGCUUAGCGAGUUGGUGGGGGAAUGGCCCGCCAAGGCGACGAUCAGUAGCUGGUCUGAGAGGAUGAUCAGCCACAUUGGGACGGUGACACGGCCCAAACUCCUCCGGGAGGCAGCAGUGGGGAAUAUUGGACAAUGGGCGCAAGCCUGAUCCAGCCAUGCCGCGUGAGUGAUGAAGGCCUUAGGGUUGUAAAGCUCUUUCGUCCGUGACCAUAAUGACGGUACCGGAAGAAGAAGCCCCGGCUAACUUCGUGCCAGCCGCCGCGGUAA
rnacentral:rRNA from 1 species